AGGUAAAUAUGAAGUGCCUAAUUUUGCUUUAGCAAGAGAACUGACUGUAGUUUUAUUAACACCGGUUGAUGCUAUUUAGCAUUUGGGUUGCGGCCGGAUUAUUCCUUAUGUGGGGUCAUUCUAGUGGGAUAGGAAUAAGAUCUAUUUUGAUUGACGCGAUGUGUAUUAUUAUGUCGCUAAUGAUAAGUAGGCUCUCUGAAUGGUUAGAUCAUAUGAUGCAAGAACUAUCUUCGUAUCCAAACAGCAUUGCAGUAGCAUCUCAACACAAAGAGCCUUAGCUGGAGAAAGUUUCACAUCAUCUGCUUAGUCUUUUGCAGCCUUAGCUGAUUAUGUAAAACAAUUCCUGAUUAAGGCUCUUGGAAUUGAGAUGCUAAAGCUUCCUUUUUAAGGACAUUAUAUUCCGAGCAAAAAGAAAAAGUGAUGUUUGAGUAUGAAGAUUGUCUGUUGAUUUUGAGAAUCAUUUAGAAGAUCUCAUGAAGCCAGUGACUAGGGUCAGGCAUUCGUGAUUGUAAAUUGUCGGCAUUUUACUUCCCCGUCCAUCUCUAUGGUUGUACCAAUUACCCACGGCGAUGAAAAAACCAAUAAUAGUAUGUGAGACGAUGAUGACAAUUCACACCAACUUUAAUAAUGUUGAUUUGGACCACAUUUUUCGUCAACUUGACGGGGUGAAAUUUUCAGGUGGAAGGGCCAGCAGUUCUUGCAGCCACAAAGUAGAAGUUUUGUCCUGAUAGGGCGCUGCGUGGUCAUCUUCAAAAUCUAAAUCUGUAUCCGUUUCCUCCUAGAAGAAGUGAGGUUUUUAUGUGGCGUUGGAUGCAAGGCAUACAUGAGGAGCCAGUAAAUACCUAGAAGAAGUGAGUGAGUGUUGAUAAGAGUGUGUUUCUCGUGUAGUUUCUGCUCGUUGUAUUCUAAACUUCUACCAACGUACAGCUAUGCUUUUGUUGAUCUAAAAAUAAUGUUGUAUUAAGGACCGGUUUGGAGUUAAUUAAGAAGUUUAUUUAGUAAUAAUAUCGUAAUUGCUUCCUCUCCAUUGAAUGGAGGAGCAACCAAUGCAAUUGCUCCUUCUGCACCUCCAAUCGCACAUUUUUCUUUUCAGUUGCAAGGCUCAUCAAAACUGAAUGUGAUUUUGUUUGAACUGAAAAUAAGGAAACUAACGAA
rnacentral:lncRNA from 1 species